GAUCCUGGCUCAGGAUAAACGCUGGCGGCGCACAUAAGACAUGCAAGUCGAACGGAAGUCGUUAUAAAAGGAGAGAAGAUUUGUCGGAUUGAAUUUUAUAACAAUGGCUUUAGUGGCGGACUGGUGAGUAACGCGUAAGGAACCUACCUAUUAGAGGGGAACAACAAUGAGAAAUCAUUGCUAAUACCGCAUAUGCCAUAACUACCGCAUGGUAGAAGUGGGAAAGGAGUAAUCCGCUGAUAGAUGG
rnacentral:rRNA from 1 species